GCCCCAAAUCAUGUAGGUUGGAUGGGAGAGUGGAAAAUGCAGUGGUGAUGAAGAGGUGGUAGAAAAGAGUUUGCAAGGUUGAUAAUGAAGGUGGAGGACGAAGCGGCGGAGAGAGUGCCGGCGAUGGCGGAGGAGGGUUGAGAGUAGAGGAGGGAGCAUUGUGAGGAGCAGAAACCCUAGAGCUAGUAACAAGGGAGUGAAGAGAGAGAAAGCGAUGUAACGGUUAAAGUGCGCACGAAAUUUGAAAAGGGGGGAAAGGUGG
rnacentral:misc_RNA from 1 species